rnacentral:rRNA from 1 species
GAUGAACGCUGGCGGCGUGCUUAACACAUGCAAGUCGAACGAUGAACCGGGUGCUUGCACUCGGGGAUUAGUGGCGAACGGGUGAGUAACACGUGAGCAACCUGCCCCUGACUCUGGGAUAAGCGCUGGAAACGGCGUCUAAUACUGGAUAUGUCCCGUCACCGCAUGGUGUGCGGGUGGAAGGAUUUUUCGGUUGGGGAUGGGCUCGCGGCCCAUCAGCUUGUUGGUGAGGUAAUGGCUCACCAAGGCGUCGACGGGUAGCCGGCCUGAGAGGGUGACCGGCCACACUGGGACUGAGACACGGCCCAGACUCCUACGGGAGGCAGCAGUGGGGAAUAUUGCACAAUGGGCGGAAGCCUGAUGCAGCAACGCCGCGUGAGGGAUGACGGCCUUCGGGUUGUAAACCUCUUUCAGCAGGGAAGAAGCGAGAGUGACGGUACCUGCAGAAAAAGCACCGGCUAACUACGUGCCAGCCGCCGCGGUAA